AGCUGGAAUAUGAAAAAUAGAAGGGAAAGUGGUAAUGAAGUCAUCACUGACUUCCAGGCCCUGAGCCUGCUGACUCGGCAAGGAUGUGGGUGUUCUCCUUCACCAGACAGAAACGUUUCGUUUUGACGACACAAGCAGCCACCGGGGCUGCAGCCGAUCUGGAGGAGUAAGAGCUGAGUUGCAGAAGCAAUGCCUGCAAAUAAGGUGAAGAAACUAAAACCUCGAGAUCAAGAGACCUUCCCAAAGGUCACACACACUGCUAAAAAACCGCAGCCAGACCCUCUCAUACUGCCACAGUGUAGAGAAGAUGGAGUCUCACUGUGUCGUCCAGGC